rnacentral:rRNA from 1 species
GUGGGGAAUCUUGCGCAAUGGGCGAAAGCCUGACGCAGCAACGCCGCGUGUGUGAUGAAGGCCUUCGGGUUGUAAAGCACUGUCAGGAGGGAAGAAACGCCUUGGGAUAAUACCCCGGGGCUAUGACGGUACCUCCGAAGGAAGCACCGGCUAACUCCGUGCCAGCAGCCGCGGCAAUACGGAGGGUGCGAGCGUUGUUCGGAAUCAUUGGGCGUAAAGCGCGUGUAGGUGGGCGGGUAAGUCAGGUGUGAAAGCCCAGAGCUCAACUCUGGAAUUGCGCUUGAAACUACUCGUCUUGAGUACGGGAGAGGGAAGCGGAAUUCUUGGUGUAGGGGUGAAAUCCGUAGAUAUCAGGAGGAACACCGACGGCGAAGGCAGCUUCCUGGACCGAUACUGACACUGAGACGCGAAAGCGUGGGGAGCAAACAGGAUUAGAAACCCCAGUAGUCC